GCGCUGUAUGUGGUUGUUGUACCCGAACAGAUAUUGUUAGGGAGCAUCUGGAGGACACUCUAAGGAUUUGUGACGUCAGUGCAAUGGGUCUAUAGUCUGGCCACUACCUCAUACUAAGUACGCAUCUCAUUGGUCAAUCGGGUAGACUAAAUAAAUACAUCUGAUUAGUUAAUGGUCCCUCAAUGGUAGCGGUAACCAAGAAUUCCUGGUUAAUAGUCCAUCUAACAUAAUCUGGUUAAUUCAACCAUAUACAGGGUGUCCCCCCAAAAAUUCCCUCUUUAGAAAUCACUCUUGUGCGUUAUUAUACCUUUGUGGAUUUAAUUUAAUUGUACAUGAACGGCGGAAGUAUUUACAACUUACCUUCGUCCAAAUAAUUUAACACUUCGGUUACACUUUGCGUUCACGUAUAAAUUGUUACGACAAAUACUCGUUGCUUUGUAGUCAUUUGAACCAUUCUUACUCGAACUGACGAUAGACGAAUUUGUAUUUUGACAUUUUUGUGUUGCUGUUCGUUUUACAAGCUAUUUUAAAUUCCCAGCGGUAUAACAAGGCACGUCCAACAACAAAAGAGUGAUUUCUAUAUAGGGGGACUUUUUUGGGGAUACCCGGUGUUUCUUCGAUUAAAUAUUAAUUUUUCAUUUAUGACCAAUUCAGUUUUCCUUGGGGGCUUUCUUAAUUAGUUCCCAGGCUUUCGCUUUCCCCAAACUGUCAAUGACGGCUUCUUUUAUAUUUGCGUCCAGCGUUGCAUCCUGGGACAGUGCCAGAAGAAUUUCGAAAAUCUUGCUUUCAACAAGCU